UACGUGUGUGUGUGUGUCUGUGUCUCUCUGUGUGAGUAUAUCUCUCUGGGUGUGUAUCAGUGUGUCUGGGGAUACGUCUGUGUGUGUGUGUCUCUCUGUGUGUGUAUCAGUGUGUCUGUGGAUACGUCUGUGUGUGUGUGUCUAUGUCUCUCUGUGUGUGUAUGUCUCUCUGGGUGUGUCUCAGUGUGUCUGGGGAUACGUCUGUGUGUGUCUGUAGGUGUGUACGUGUGUGUGUGUGUGAGUCUAUCUGUGAGAGUAUGUCUCUCUGGGUGUGUCUCAGUGUGUCUGGGGAUAUGUCUGUGUGUGUCUGUGGGUGUAUGUGUGUGUGUGUCUGCGUCUCUCUGUGUGAGUGUGUCUCUCGGGGUGUGUAUCAGUGUGUCUGGGGAUACGUCUGUGUGUGUUUGUGGGUGUAUACAUGUGUGUGUGUGUGUGUGUGUCUCUCUGUGUGAGUAUGUCUCUCUGGGUGUGUAUCAGUGUGUCUGGGGAUAUGUCUGUGUGUGUCUGUGGGUGUAUACGUGUGUGUGUGUGUGGGCAGGUGUGUGGAGGCUGCGGGCGUGGCUUGGGUCUGAGUCUCCUCUGCUGUUUUCCUCCUGACCCUGGGCCGUCUCAAGGCUCAGUGUCCGCAUUUGGAAGAUGGGGCUGGGAACAGCACCUUGGUUGCCGCAGAGGCUGCACAGUCUGGCAGGAGGGGACAGGGUCCUUGUUUGGCCACUUAGCGGAGGAGCGAGGCGAGCCUCCAUUUGCCUGAAUGGAAGACGGAGAGAAUUAAAGGGGCUCCUUGAUGGUGCUGCUGAGAAGUCCACGGGGCAGGCAGGUAAAGCUCUGACCUCAGCGUUUGGCACGUGGUGCUCAGGAAAGGUUAGUUCUGCAUCUUAUUAUGAACUCGGAUAUUAAGGUGUCCACACCUCCCAAAGCAAUCUGCAGAUUCGGUGCCUUCUCCAUCAAAACUGCAGUGGCCUUCUUCAGGGAACUAGGACAGAUCAGCCCUAAAAUGUGUACGAAACCACAGAAGGUUCUGAACAUCCAAAGCAAUCUUGAGAAAGGAGAACCAGCCGGAGGCAUCACCAUCUGUGAUUUCAAACACUGUUACAAAGCCACCUUAAUUAAAACAGUGUGGUCCUGGCAUAAAAACAGACAUACAGACCGAUGGAGCAGAUAGAGAGACCGAGGUGAAUCCAUGCAUAUAUGAUCAGUUAAUUUAUGACAAAGAAGUCUUUAAUCUACGAUGGGGAAAAGGGCCAUUUCUUCAAUAAACAGCAUUGGAAAAACUGUGUGUCA
rnacentral:lncRNA from 1 species